UUCAACAAACUAAGGUGUUGAUGGUUUGAAUUAAAACUUUUUAUUUCAAUGAUCUACUGCAUUGUAAAACAAUGUGCUGCUGCUUUUUGGUAUUAAAAUACUAAAAAAAGCCAUAUUUUUAUAAAAAUCAUCGGAAAUAUCUUUGCCGCAAGUAACUGUAACAUCGAUAUGUCGAUCAAUCGAUAAAAUUAGAAAGAUAUCUGAUAGUCACUUCAAAAGAAGCUUCAAAUUGUUCGUCGUUAAUAAAAAUAAAAUGGAAAUUCAACAGGAAAAGUUGAAAUCUAAGUACUGCUGGGCAGGAAAAACUGCAACAGCAAUUAGGCCUAUUAAAAGUGCUCAAGAAAAUUCUGCUACUGGCGGCAAUUGCAUCUGCGCCCGCAAACGGGGAUUGAUAAGCUGCGUUUGUUGCCAGAAGUCUUUUAUGGGUCGUAUCGCAAGUCGCUGUCCACAACAUCCUGAAGUUGCAUAUCUAAUGGACUCCCGUAAUUGCGCUUUCUGUGGAGCAGCCGCAAAAUAUCUGCAAAUUGAUGAAGUAUAGUAAAAUUUCUUCCGUUGCAAUGUUGUUGACGACAAAUUUGAGACUCUUGCAGCUAAUAUACUAAUUACUUAUGAUGCAUAAACAAAAAAAUGCAGAAAUAAAUAAAUACAAUAUGUGUUUUUGUUAUACACGUACACAAAUAAAUACAUGUAUACAAAUAUCGAAAUUUGUAUAAUCGAAAUUA